UUUCCUUCUGUACAGAACCUUGUACAAGGCUCUUAGAUGCCAUCUAGGUCUUCCUGCAAAAGAAAAAGUUGCUUUACCUCAAUUCUUACAUAAACAUUCAUUCAUUUCAUCCACCUUAUACUAAUCGAGCAAGCUAAACUUUUCAAAGGCUCUAAUCUGGCUCCAGCUCCAGACAUUUUGAAACGGCAAUUACCGCCUCGUAGGCUCCAUGCUUUAUUUUAAUCAAUAUUACACUUUACAUAUCGUAAUUUUAGACAAAGUAUGUUAAUUUUAAUUAUAGUUAACAUUUAUGUCAAUUGCCGGAACGGUACUGAACCCAUUCAUGUAUGCUCCGGCCUCAAGUUCCUUGGAUAUUUCAUGAUCUUCCUCAUAUUUUUCGAUAAUUGCAGUCUCGUAUUACUCCGUCGUUUCACUAUUAUUGCAGUUUUUCAUCCUGGCCAAGAAUGUGUUUUUCAAAUGGAUCACCCCGGCAUACGGGUUGUGAAUUGUGCUGGGGCUCGCAACUUCAAGUUCUUUCUCCUUUCUGUUGUGAGAACAGUUGCAUUUCCCAUCAAUCUAUAGUCUUGUUGUAUAUAAAUAUAAGACUUCCGCUGAGGAUAUUUAUGGUGAUGCUUACUCUAUGCAUACUGUAUGUUAAUUGAGAAACCUCUGGAAUAAAAUGGAGGCACCAAAUAAAAAUGUUGGGGUGGGGGGAUGGUGUAUUUAGUUUUUAUUUUUGAAAUUGAGGAGGAGAGACUAGAGCCUUUCCAAUGUCUAACGCCUUGUUAUUUCUUUUAUCUUCCAUCAGUUUAUUCAUCAAAAGCAUAGAAGAAUUAAUUUGUUCAUUCGGCUUUUACAUAAAAUUUUACAUUUACUUUUUGCAUUAACUUGGGUUCUAUCAGAUUAAUUUCUCUUCCACAUAAAGAAAAACUGGAAUUUCGCAUAUUUUUGGCUCUGAUCUUUAGAUAUUUUACACUUUCGCAUACCUGACAUGGGCUCUAUAAUAAGUCUUGAGAACUGUAGGAAUGGUUAGUUGAAUUUCAUUGUAAUGACAACUUGCUCUUCGUAAUGUGAAUUCAAUGAAAUGAAACACAUUGCUUGGAACUUUAUUAAAGAUGAAGUGCUUUGGUUUCGAUUCCCACCGAUAUUCAAUUGCUUUUCAGAAUCUACUACGUUAGAUAGUCCUAAUGGACCUUGCACACUAAACUAAAUAUGAAUUAAAGUUUUUCUUUUUUGCAAAUAUGCAUCGAAGUUUGUUUACUGUUAUUCUUCAUACAAUCUGAAGAUAUUUCAACCAUUAUUUCCAUAUAUUUUAAUCCCUGAGAAAAUGCCUUUAAACUCUAUCUGCUACUCCACAUAUUUAUACGACAUUUUCUAAUUAUAUCAAACUGAGCCCAAUCAGUCAUUUCACAGUUUAUAAACUUCACUUUCCUUUAGUGGCAUCAGUCACCAUGUCAGUUGUUCCCUCAAGGUAACAAGAACAAGAGAUAAGCCAGCCUCCCUAGACCAUAUGGGGUAUUUCGGAAGGAAAACGAGGUUUUCUUUCAGUUUCUUUUCUAUAUAUGUGAAUGGACUCUUGGAAUGAUUUUUGUUUUUUUUUGUUUUUUUGUCUUUUUGUUUUUUAUAGCUUUAUUCCUUUCUAGAGACAGCAAUGAAUACUCUUGUGCUUCUACCCAACUUCAUAGAUUUUUAUAAUCAUGCCAGUCGUCAUUCCACUUCAAGUAGACAACUUUCUGUCACUUUCCUUUCCUUCGGUAAUUUCUCCUUCUAAAUAAAUGAUCAUCAUAUCAAUAUGCUGUAUCUACCUCUUCAUCAUUUUAGCGUUUCUUACAUAUUCUGUACCUUGUUGCAGUUCUGAAUUUAGCUUUUGCUCUAAGUCUUCUUUGUUUCGUAAUUAUGCAUUCAUCUCUUCUAGUGAGCAACGCCACUUUGGUUGAGGUAUUGAAUGGUUUGUUGCAGAACCACUUCUGAAAAAUACUCUGUAUUUCAGUUCCUUGCUAUCUGGAAACUUAUCAGAAUUUGAGCUAAUGUUGUAGUCAAUUAGGUAAUAGAUUUACUGCACUUCCGAUUUAUUUUCUUUAUUUAGGUUUUUGGCACUAGAAAGUUAUUUUGGUUCUUCCCACUAUUUGCAAAGGAAGAUUUGGAGAAAAUACCUGUACUAAAUGGCCUAGAUUUUCCCACGCGCUCAUAUAUUGAAGCAUGAGGAACAUUGAUCACCUUCCGAAGUAUGUCUGUUAUUUUUCUUUAGUAGUCACUAAUUUUCAUAAGGUGGGUUUUCUAAUUCGUUCUAUAAAAUUUAAAAUUUAUAAGUUCUUGGUUUUUGGUAAUUUGUCCUUGUAGCAUCUAUAAAGUUGAAUCAUUUACAAAAAACACAUUUUUGCACAAGCAUAUAUAUCUUAUUGUGAACUGAGAAAUAUUGGACAUACUUGUAUCAUGUGCCCCAUAAUCUCAUAAAAUCUACUGUCUAUCUGUGUAGUUUCCAACUUUUGGACCUGCAUGUUCUCUUUUUCGUGAAAUAGAACUCUCAGUUCUUCUGGCUCAGUUAAUGGCAUGUUGAUCUGGCUAUAAUUGAUCCUAUAAAUUCAAUAGAAAUGCUAUUUUUUUACUUUUGUUGUUCAUGAAUACAAACAUGAUUGACACAAGUUUCCCUUUAUCUUAAAGUUAGCUUUCAAAUCAUUUAUACUAUAUAUGGUGCAGAUUUUGAAAUUUGAUGAAUUUGAUCUUUUCUCCAUGAGCCCACUCCUCCCUGAGCUGUCUGCAUCUCAUGAUAGCAGCCUUAUUUCAUCUCUUUGCACAAAACAGAAGGCGUAUCAAAUGAAUGAUUCAUUGAUUGAAGGCCCCCAUUUAUGAAUUAUAUUAUAGUCCGAGAAAUGCUACAUCUAAGCCCAGGUUUACCACCUGGGUGAUAGAAUGUAGAGGUGGCAACAUUUCAUAGGCUGGUGGACAAAAAAAAAAAAGUUCCACCAGCCUAUGAAAUCUUGCCACUUGUGCAUUCUAUCAAACCCACCUGGGUGUACCAAGUAUCAUUUUUCUUAUAGUUCUAUUUGAGUAGAUUACAAACACUAAAAUGCAUGCUUACUGGGGAAGGUGACAUUUUGGCCUUGCAUAUCUCCUCCCUAACAUCAUUGCUUUCCUCUUUUCAAUAUUAUAGACCUGCUAGUCACUCAUUAGAAAUCAUGCUUAAAGGUAUUCAAAUUGACAUAUAAUACUCAUAUGCUUGGUAUCAAUUACAUGUAUUUUGUCCCACAAGAAAGCAGAAAGUUUUGUGGUGAUACACAGGCACAGACUUCUUGUACCACGCUCCCAGCAAGGAGCCUGCUGGAAAUCAUACGAACAAACAGCUUUUUCUUAAUGGCAGCUGAGUCGGUUGAUCAUCUAUCGGGUCGUGAAAUGUCUUUUUCUAGCCAACUAUGUGGGGAGUUGUGACAGGAGUUGCAGAUAUCUGAUAUAAAGACUGAUAACCAAACAGUGAGUGGUGUAGCAAAAAGAAUGAGACCUACAGGCACCAUCCACUGCUGUUCAUUUGUAGGAUGAUAAUAAAACUCCCACCAAGCCAAUAUUAGCCCACCCACCAUGCUUACUGAAAAUGAUCCCAAGCAAACUAUCCAUAUCUUUACAAUCCUCAGAAAUCUUCUGUAUCUCUCAUCUUCCGUGUCUUCAUAUGAUGCCAUCAAGUGUCUGAUGUCGAAAUCCUUUACGUGUUUUCUUCGCGUGGAAAAGUUUUGAUAGAACAACGAGAGAUUAGACGACUGAAACCUACUGAAACAGAAAUGGUAAGAGGCUUUAUAUAUAGAUGCCUUGAAUUAGGCAGGCUAUUCCCAUUGAACCUCCAUCAGACGUGCCUUUUGACUAAAGUUGUUCCCUGUAGAAACCAUCAUCAUGUAGAGAGGAAGAACAUCAUUGCGUCUCGGUUUUUCUAUACAAGAAGUGAUUGAUAGAGGUUUGUGCUGGGGUAGAUUCAUUUCGUUUAAUAAGCCUAUCAAAAUUUCAUUUGACAA